UACAGAGACUGCAAGCGUUAUUCGGAUUCACUGGGCGUAAAGGGUGCGCAGGCGGCCAAGUGUGUGAGGCGUGAAAGCCCGGGGCUUAACCCCGGAAUUGCACCUCAAACUACAUGGCUAGAGCAUUGGAGAGGGUAGCAGAAUUCAUGGUGUAGCAGUGAAAUGCGUAGAUAUCAUGAGGAACACCAGUGGCGAAGGCGAGUCCCUGGACAAUUCCUGACACUGAGGCACGAAAGCCAAGGGAGCAAACAGG
rnacentral:rRNA from 1 species